rnacentral:misc_RNA from 1 species
AUGGGACGGCCCGCUGGGCUGUUCCCGCCCCUAUGCCCUUUUUUGGGUUUCCGGCCAGAGGCAUGCUGGGAGCGUCACAUGCAAAUUGAGCGUGCACCCAGCGUUCCGCCCUUUCUACGCUGGGCCGGUUAUCGACCCGGCCCAGUGCGCAGGCGCGGGAAAGUUGAACUAAUAAAGUUUGUACGAGUUCAGUGGAGGAGACCGCAAGUUGAGUGGAGGAGGCGGCGGUGGGGCCCCGGACCAGGUGCCUCCAUGGCAGGCUCUGAAGAGCUGGGGCUCCGGGAAGACACGCUGAGGGUCCUAGCUGCCUUCCUUAGGCGUGGUGAGGCUGCCGGGUCUCCUGUUCCAACUCCACCUAGCCCUGCCCAAGAAGAGCCAACAGACUUCCUGAGCCGCCUUCGAAGAUGUCUUCCCUGCUCCCUGGGGCGAGGAGCAGCCCCCUCUGAGUCCCCUCGGCCUUGCUCUCUGCCCAUCCGCCCCUGCUAUGGUUUAGAGCCUGGUAAGAGAUUUCCAUGAUCAUCUAUGAAGCCGGCAGAACACGGGAUAAGGCCCAGCUACUCCAGACUUCUAUGCUUUGGUGGCCCAGCGGCUGGAACAGCUGGUCCAAGAGCAGCUGAAAUCUCCGCCCAGCCCAGGAGGGCAUCCUGGCUGUUUCACCCGUGGACUUGAACUUGCCAUUGGACUGAGCUCUUUCUCAGAAGCUGCUACAAGAUGACACCUCAUGUCCCUGCCCUCUUCGUGUGCUUUUCCAAGUCUUCCUAUUCCACUCAGGGCUGUGGGGUGGUGGUUGCCCUACCUGUUUUUGCCAAAAAUAAAUUGUUUAAAACUUUUCUUAUUAAAAACGUUACAAAGUA